rnacentral:misc_RNA from 1 species
AACGCACAUUGCGCCCCCUGGUACUCCGGGGGGCACGCCUGUCCGAGCGUCAUCCUCAAACCCACUCGGGUGCCUCGCUGCGCCCGGUCCCGGGACGCGUCGUCGGCCACCUCGGUUCGACGGCGGUCCCCAGAGCCAUCGGACCGUUGACCGUCCAGCCGGACGCGACGACACGUGGUUGGUUGGCCCGCAUGGGCAGAUCUCGCGUGCGCGGCGUGCGUGCAGGGUCGGUCGGCUCGAUGUCCGGGGCGUGCGUCCGCUCCAGACGCCGUCCGCACCGGGAGCCGCGCUCCCACCAAGCUUGACCUCGGAUCAGGCGGGGAUACCCGCUGAACUUAA